GGGGCACCAGAGAGAACAGUCCAUGAGUAUCACAUGCCAGGGGACAGCCCUCGGGUCCAUACUGUUCGAUUUGGGAAAAUUUGACUCCUGCUCUCUUUGUCCUCGUGGUGGCAUUUGUGAGGGACAAGCUUUGGUAGAGAAACAUGCUGGGUGGUCGUGGCCUUGGGCUGAAGAGUCUGUCAGUACUCAUGCUCAAGCCUGUGCCAAUUCUCGGCCAACAAAGACAGUGGUUCUAAACCAGGGCAUCAGAGCACACAGGUGUGACAUGGUAAAAGGUGUGUUGCUAAAAGUCCCACAGCAUUUUUAAUCUAAGGAAAAAAAAAAAAAAACAACAACAACAACAAAAAAAUAAAAGUCCCACAGCAUGGAAAGAACUGACUUUUGUUAAAUCACUCAGAACUAACUUAAGGUUUUUGCCUUCUCACUUGGGAAGUGCUCACAUCCUCCUGGGGUGGGGGUGGGGGACGGAUGCUCACAGCAGGGGCCUCACACAUGACUGUCCUUUGCUCCAAGCCUCCUGGGACACAGAGAGUGAGGCCCACUGACCUAGUGGAGUCUAUUUUAGUAGAAGAGUCUGUUUGGGGAAUAGAGGUCUAACACAAAAAGGUGAGAGGCGAUGGCAAAUGUUGGCGAGGGUGAAGGACAAGAGGACUCUCACACACUGUUGAGUAACGGCUAACAGUUAUGAAGACGCCACAUUUACCCAGCAGCUCCAGUCCCAGAUACAAACCCUGAACUGUGACCAGGAUACACAUACGAGCAUGUUCGAGGAGCUUUGUUCAUAAGAGUUCAUUACUGGAAACAAGCCAGUGAUGGUCACAGUAGAAUGGAAUAAAAAAUGGCGUUAUCUCCAUGUGCUGGACAGCACAGCUACCUACCACAGCAUGGAUGAAUCUUAUAAAUGCAAUGCAGAAAGAAGCAGGAUCAAGGAAUUUCAAAGAAUAAAGUUCCAAAAGAAGCAAGAUUCAACUCCUUUGUUGAGAGGAACAUACUUAGGUGAUUACACAAAAAAAGAAAAGCAAGGAAGUGUGUCCCAGAGCCAGUUAGUCAGGACAGCAGUUGCUUGUGUGGGGCUGGUUGUGUGGGGCUGGCAGUGUUCUGUGUCUUUGUGUGGGUGGCGGUUUCAUGUGUGUCUUUAUGAAAAUGUGUUAAGCUGUACAUGGAUACUUUAUAUGCCCCAGUUAAUACAGUAUAUUACACAAUGAAAUAAAAGCUGGAGUGGGGAGAGAAAUACAGGGGGGAAGAAAAAAAGAAAAAAGGAAACAAGGAAGGAAGGAAAUAAAGAAGGAGAAAGAGGGAGAAAGAUCUCCAAACCGCUGUCAUGUAUCUGAGGUGUCAGAUGUCAGAACUAGCCACAAAAAUUCCAGUAACCGCAAAGGUGGAUCGAGGGAUGAGAAAAAGGACAGGGCAGGGGCUGGUGGUUGGGGUGCAGGGAAGACCGCAGUGCAGCCAGACACAGGGCGCAUGCGCACGGCCAGGGCCGCGGUCUCCAUUUUGUGCUUUCUGGAGGAAGCUCCCAGCGUCCGGCCUCACUCAGUGGACCUCAGCAAAGACCACGCUGUGGAGCAACAUGAGGCCUUUCGAGGAGGCUUUUCAUCAACCAUCAAGCUCUACUAGAUUCGGUGACAGUGAGCUGAAUUCAGUUCUCGGGACCCUGUCUGCAGUCGCCUGCCUCUACUCAGAAGCACAUGCCAUGUCCUGUACUGAGAUCACCUUUUCCUCCUCCUGUGGGCUUGAAUUCCUGUUCAUCCCUGGCCCUCUGAAAACUCCUUGGACCCUCCAGACAAGGUUCUUCACCACUUCCCUGACAUCCCUGUCUCGACAUAUCCUCUAAUUAAUACUUGUCAUGCUUGAUUGAAAUGAUGUGUGGAUAUGUCAUCCUGACAUCUCUGUAACCCAGCAUCUAAUAUAAAGCUGUGCAUAUAGGAGGGAGUUGAUAAAAAUGUUGGUUGAAUUGAUCUGAAUUUAAUUGAAGUUUGGAACUUUGAUGUGCUAUUAUGUCCUAUUAUGGUUCUUUGUCUAGGAUCCCUCAAAUAUGCUAAGUUCUCCCCCAGUUCCCUGCUGUCCUGCUCUCUCUCUCUCUCUCUAGCCUUGCCUAACCUCGCUUCAGUUCACCUAUAUGAUUCUUCAGGACUCAGAUAAGGAGUCACCUCCUUCGAGAAGCCUCUCCUGAUGCCCCCUUGCUAAGCUCAGACUGAGUGUAGGCCCCUCCUGUCCUGCUACAAACACCUCAUCUCCCAUCUCCAUGUCCAGCAUCUGGUACAAUGUCUGGCACAAGAUAGAUGCUCAGGAAAUAUCGGCUGAAUGAACGACAGUCUCCUGGGUCAGAAUGUUGGAAAAAAUUCAUCUCCAAGUUUUUCUCAAGAUACCACUAAACUAUUUUUGAGGAAGGAUCAAAUAAGUACCAUAUCAAAUAUGUGGAUGUAUACUUAGAAAUAAAGUACAAUAUAAAACUAGAUGUGCAUCUAUGUAGAUAUAAAACAUUAAUUAAGAAACAUGUCUAGGCUUCCUGAUUAUACUUUAAGACUAGAAACUUGUUAUUUAUUUAUUUAUUUAUUUUGAGACAGAGUCUCACUCUGUU